GCAUGUGACGGUGCCUGACCGUAGCGUGCCAUUCUCCUCUUGUCGUUGUUGCUCCGGGGCGUUCUGCCCCGGUCUUUUUGG
rnacentral:ncRNA from 1 species